rnacentral:pre_miRNA from 1 species
GAUAUACACCCUCCGUCCGGAAAUACUUGUUGGAGAAAUGGAUGUAUCUAAACAUAUUUUAGUUCUAGAUACAUUCAUUUUUAUUCAUUUUUCUAACAAGUAUUUCCAGACGGAGGAGAGAGUAUGUA